CAGGCCCCUGGCAGAGCAGCGCGAACACUGAGCAGUCGUUUCCUCCCGGCCCGCAGGACAAUGGGCUUCCGGGCGUUGCCGGAAGAUGGCGGCUUCGCCAGCCGCACGGUCGGAGCCAGUUGCAAGUGGCCUUCUGCUAUUUGGGGAGAAAACGAGGAGCGGGUGAGAUGAAAACCACUUCACAGAAUUGUAAACGGCGAUCUGGAUCAUCCUCUAGUAACCCAUGAAGCAAUCUUGGCCGAUACAUUUUCAAACCUAAACGUUGCAUAAUACGACUCAAAGAUCUACAGGAAAUGCCCAAUUCAACAGAAGCUCGUUGUUUGGAUUUUUUGGGGCUCUCUGUAAAUGCCUGACUCACUAACAUUUCAUUUUCCUGGGUGGUAAUACUGACUGGUCGACCACUUUUUGGAGCAUUACAGAUGGACCCAGUUUCAUCAAAUUUAUCACGUAUUCUAUAAAUUGUUUGUCUACUUGG